GAACCAGAAAGUAUAUAAACAGAAAUUUCAUGAUGUAGGAAUAUAAAUAAUAAAGGAAUUAUGCGUGUUUUAGCAAGCAACUUCGAAGAUCCAAUGCUUGGUCAAUACUCCUCUGUGGCAAAUGCUGCUGCUCAUGUGUGUGUGGUCCAUCUCAAAUUCCUUGCUUUCUAUUUUGCUGAUGAGACCACAGAUUUGGCAUCUUUUGCUGCUAUGCUUCUAGCUACUGCAAUGGGUGCUGGGUUUCCAUCCCCAUUGGAGUAAGGUGCAAGAACUGCAGUUCUACAAACGUUUUUAUCGAGCUCAAAUCUCCAUCCUCGAUUGC
rnacentral:lncRNA from 1 species